AGCAGCCGCGGUAAUUCCAGCUCCAAUAGCGUAUAUUAAAGUUGCUGCAGUUAAAAAGCUCGUAGUUGAAUUUCGGGAUCAAUAUGUUGGUCGUGCCUCGGUACGUACUAGCUUAUUGGUUUCUCCCUUCUGACGAACCAUGAUGUCAUUUAUUUGGUGUUAUGGGAAAUCAGGACUGUUACUUUGAAAAAUUAGAGUGUUUAAAGCAGGCUCACGCUUGAAUACAUUAGCAUGGAAUAAUGAAAUAGGACGUUUGAUUCUAUUUUGUUGGUUUCUAGGAUCGACGUAAUGAUUAAUAGGGAUAGUUGGGGGCAUUAGUAUUCAAUUGUCAGAGGUGAAAUUCUUGGAUUUAUUGAAGACUAACUACUGCGAAAGCAUUUGCCAAGGAUGUUUUCAUUAAUCAAGAACGAAAGUUAGGGGAUCGAAGACGAUCAGAUACCGUCGUAGUCUUAACCAUAAACUAUGCCGACUAGGGAUCGGAU
rnacentral:rRNA from 1 species